rnacentral:rRNA from 1 species
CCUACGGGAGGCAGCAGUGAGGAAUCUUGGUCAAUGGACGAGAGUCUGAACCAGCCAAGUAGCGUGAAGGAUGACUGCCCUAUGGGUUGUAAACUUCUUUUAUAUGGGAAUAAAACAGGGUAUGCAUACCCUCUUGUAUGUACCAUAUGACUAAGGAUCGGCUAACUCCGUGCCAGCAGCCGCGGUAAUACGGAGGAUCCGAGCGUUAUCCGGAUUUAUUGGGUUUAAAGGGAGAGUAGGUGGAUUGUUAAGUCAGUUGUGAAAGUUUGCGGCUCAACCGUAAAAUUGCAGUUGAAACUGGCAGUCUUGAGUACAGUAGAGGUGGGCGGAAUUCGUGGUGUAGCGGUGAAAUGCGUAGAUAUCACGAAGAACUCCGAUUGCGAAGGCAGCUCACUGGACUGCAACGGACACUGAUGCUCGAAAGUGUGGGUAGCAAACAGGAUUAGAUACCCCUGUAGUC